rnacentral:lncRNA from 1 species
CUCGCAGAUGGAAUUCAAAUACCUGUCGUGUUCAAGACAGCCCCAUGGGGAUUAUAGGUGGAUGUCAGAACUAUACCCAGAUUCAGACAUGUGACACUUUCGGGCUGAAGCACUUAAGAGCCAGUGUGCCCUGUCCAUUUCUGUCUUCUGUCCUGUGGAUUUGGAAGCAUGUGUUGACAGAACAAUGUCUUAUGGUGAAGGAAGCCUAAACCCCUGAGUCAUUGGAUGGAGGAGAGCCCAUGUUGACCCAUAAAGGACUUCAUGGUCUCGCUCUGUCACCCAGGCUGGAGUGCAGGCGUGCUAUCUUGGCUCACUGCAACUUCUGCUUCCCGAGUUCAAGAGAUCCUCAUACCUCAGCCUCCUGAGUAGCCGGGACUACAGGCAUGCGCCACCACACCCAGAUAUGACUUAGAAUAUGAUUGAAUAUGAAUACAUGAUUGAAGAUAUAUUAUAAAAUUGAGAUACUUGUUGCAACACAACAGGGAAAUGAAUACAGAAGGGCUCAAAGUAUUUUAUAGAGGGUAUACGAGCAAUUUGACGUCGCAGAAAACCUGUCAGAAAGAAGCACCAUGGAAUAGAGGAAAGAGGCCCGGAAUCCAGCCCCGGGAACUGUGACAGCCUCUGGGGUGGGGACUCUCGUGGAAAGGCUAGAUGAUGGAGUCACGUGCUCCCUUCCCGUUCACUAGCUGCUGAUUGGCCAACUGCUCCUGCCAGCUGUCCCUGCACUCCAGCUUCCUACCAUAUGCUCCAGAAUAACGUCUGGAAAGUGAGCCCCAUCCAUCAAGUUUGUCACACCUUGCACUCAAUCUGCUACCUUCUCUACAGUAUUUGUCCACGUCUCUGCCCUGCUUCAAAUCCUUCAGAGGCUCCCCAUCACCCACAGGGAUGAUCUUUCUGAAAUGGAUUUGGCCAUGCCAGUCUCCUGCCUGAAACAGCCCUCCUGGCUCCUUGUCACUCAAAGGAAAAGGCAAACUCCUCAAGACUGCACAUAAUGCCCACCUUCCCAACCAGCCUCUCCUACUGCCACUCUCUCUCCUACACCCUACCUUCCAAACCCUACUUGGGGUUCACCCUCACAUGCUGGAGUUUUCCCAUCUCUGAGACUUCAUUCAGGCAGUUCCUUCUGGCUUCGGAGGCUUCUUUGUUCCUAAAGUUCAUACUUUAAGACCUAGCUGAAAUAUCAAGGCUUCCUGGACUCUGCAGGUGACACGAGCCACUGUGCUCCUGGAUGCUUCAGAACCUGUGCAGAUCUCUGUCUUCACUCCUACUAUGGCAUCUCCUAGCAUGUUCUACACUGAGCUCCACUGGGCCUUGCAUGUCAGUAUCCCGAAUUCUGAAUGAAGCUUGGAACAUGGGAGGUGCAUCCACUAACAACAUGAAGAAUGAAGACAUGUGUGAGUAAAUGAACAGUUCUCUUCUUAGUGGAAGUUGGCAAAUAGUUGUGAACUUUAAUAUGAUUCUGACAUAUUAAUAUCUUUAUUUUUAGAUAACAGAGUAGAUGGAAACCAUAUGGUAAAACCUAAAGCAAAAUCCACCCUCUAACCUUUCUGUAAGUGAAACACCCAAUUUUCUCGAAGGUGCAGUAAAAGAGCUAAAGCACAGGAGACUAAGUCAUGCAGGCCUAGCUUAGUGUUCUCCUGCCAAUGAUCUGCUGCAAAGACCACCAGGGACACAUCUGUAGUUGAACAUGUUGGGUUAUUCCUCAGCGCAGAGGGAGGAGCAAUGAGGCAUCUCUGAAAGAGGGUGUUAGAAAGAAUGUAUCACAAGAUUUGGGCUUAAGGUAAGUAAUUUUGGGGAUGGUCAACAAAGUGGGGUUUUUCUCUGAAUUGGAUGCUGUCAUAAUGUGGGGGUAAUUCUGUGAUUAUCCCAACAAUACUUAUCUGGAAGGCAAGAAGAACAGAGCAAGGCUGAAACCAGGCUAGAGAAAUGUUUGAUCAGUUUUCCAAUUUUGACAAUGUUCAUGUUUUGCCUGUGUUCAGCCAUGAUGACCUGGUGGUCUUGAUUUUGUCUUGACCUAUCAUGGUCACUAAGUGGCCUUGCCUUAUGCUGAUGGUAUGUGAAAUGUUGAUGUUCAACAGGAGAAUGCCAGCACCUUGCUGUGGGGGUGGGCCUGCCCCUGACUGUCAGAGGCUGCUGUUCUUUUUCUUACCAUCACACAUUUAGCAGCCCUAGGAUUCUGUGCAGGGUACUUAACGUCUUUGGGUGCCAGUUUCCUCAUCUGUAAAAUGAGGCUAGAAAUACCCUCUGUGAAGGAGAAAACAUGUUGAUUGUCUAGCACAGAGUCUGAAACAUAGGAGAUACUCCAAAAAACAUUAGGUCCCUUAUGUCUGGGAGUGUGGCUUUAUCCUCCCUUUAUAGACAAUGGUUUUAGGCCUAAUAAUCACCUGUGGGUUUCUUUUCAAAUGGCCUCUCCUUCAUAGCACAUAGGUGCAAUUGCAGAUGAGCUCUCAGUUAUUAAUAAAAGAAUGGUGCUGGACCAGCCUAGGAAAAUUGUGCAGAAUGAAUGUGGAGUUAAUGCAAACAACCUGGCUGCAGGGCCCUGUGGAUAACAGAAACUUCCACCGUUUGCAGACUACUCCACAUGUCCUUUAACUAUCUAUGAAUUAUGUGCUCGACUACAGCAGCCAAGUGGACUCACAGAACUGGAGUAAUAAUGGUAUAUCUCUACAGAAACUUUUACAGUUUAUAUACGGUCUUUCCAAUGUCACAUAGUCUUACUUGAGCUACACACCAGGACUGUGCCUUUAGAGCUCCUGUCUUCAUUUUACAGCAAAGAAACCUGGGCUCCCUGCAGUUGGGUGACCUGUGCAGUUACUCAGCCAGCACACAGCAGAGCUGGGACAUACUGCUUUUUUUUUUUAAUCUUUUUUAGAUUUUUAUUUGUGGUGAAACAUAAACAACAUAACCUUUGCCAUUUUAACCACGUUUAAGUGUACAAUUCAGCAGCAUUAAUUACAUUCACAAUGUUGUGCAACCAUCAGCAUCAUUUCCAGAACUCUUUCAUCACCCCAAACAGAAACUCUGUACCCAUUAAGCAAUUAACUCCCCAUUCAUUCCCCAAAUCCCCAGCCCUAGUCUAAUCUACUUUCCAUCUCCACGAUUUUACCUAGUCUUGUUUUUAAAUCAAUUUCAGUGAGGUAUAAUUUACAUACAAUGAAAUGUACCCAUUUUAAAUGUACAGUUUAAUGAACUUGACAAAUAUAUACACCCAUGUCAGCUAUAGAGCAUUUCUUCACCCUAAAGACUUCUCUUGUGCCUUCUCAGUCAACUCCCUAUCUCAGUGCCAGCUCUGAUCUGCUUUUGAUUGCUAUAGACUAGGUUUGUUUUUUCUAGAGUUUCAUGUAAACAUACUCAGGUCUUUUUAAGCCUACUAUCCUCUCCACUACCACGUGUUCCCUCUCAUAGAAGGUUGAAGCUGGAAGGGCCCUCACACCUACAGCUCCUUUUCCGCAUGAAGAAACUGAAGCCCCAGACACAAGGGAUUGACUACCUUUGACAAAAGUAUGUCAAAAGCAAUACAUCUUACUAGUGGAGCGAAGACACUGCAUGCUGACAAAGGUGAUCUCAGAUGUGAGGUCGAUGGUGCGCCAUGCAAUCAGCUUGCUGAGUGAGCCUACUUAUGCCCCAUCCCGGGGGCCUAGGGUAAGAAAAGUGCCAAGCGAAGCUGAGGAUCAGACUAAAGCUGGAAGGUGAGUCAAAGCUUGAGUCCCUCAGCAUUACCCUGCCCAGGCAGCAACUUCAGCCUCAUGGUCUUUUAGCCCUAAAACUUAGGACUAGCUCAGUGGGAGUUUUACAUUCCUUGGCUUGACAAAUGAAAAAGGUAUUGGUAGUCAGAGGGGAAAAAGGCUAAAAUAACUCAAAGUUCUAUCUGAAUCCAUGUGGAGGGUCAGGAAAAAUGCAUGGGUUUGGGGAGCCAGAAAGACCCCAGAAAUCCUCCUAACUUCCGAUAUGAACUUAGGCGAGCAUCUCACCUAUCUGCACCCCAGUUCCUUCAUUUGUAAAGUGGAGGGAAUAACAUCUACCUCAUGGGACUGUGACAAGUUACAAGUGAGCUCGUAUAACAUGAAGUAUCUUAAAUGCUGGCAGCCUUCUUUUUCUUUAUAUUCAAACAAAAGGAAAAACAAAGCUUUCUGGCCACUUUGAGUCUGAAAGUCUGGCUGUUAGGGUAGAAAAGUCUUCUAAACACUGAAUGGAUUUGAUGAUAAUCCCUUAGGGAUUGACACUGCCGAAUGCCCUUGUUCCUGGGGUCUUGGGUGCUGAAAUCCGCUUGGUGCAUACAGAGAUGCACCACCUGAGUUUCGAGGCAACUGUGCAUGUUCUGAAGAACAUUCUAUUUCCCCGUCAAUAAUAACAACAAUGAUGGGCAUCAAUGAUCUGUUUUGCACAUGUACAUCAUCUUUUUUGGCCUUGUUAUAUAACAGAUGAUGACGCUGAAAUUGCUGACACUAAUUAUCUACCAUAAGCAGGAAGGCCUUUUCUGAGUAAGCUCCUGGUUACUGGGAGCAGGUUGCAUCUAGGACUGAUAGUCUCUGGGGAUCCUAAUGAAGUCAGCGUAUUUUAGGGAUUUCUGUCUUCUCCUUUGUUAGAUGGGAAUAGAGACAGCCUGAGGGAGAGAUGCUGCUGGAAGAUCUUAUUUGGGGAUUGGUUCCAUGCUGUAGCUGGGUGACUUUGGGCAAGUUAGAUGGUCUUAAAAUGUCAGAGCUGGAAGGACCUGUGGGAACUGUUUUACAGAAAAGGAAACCAAAGGUCAGAAAUGAAACCAUCUGCCUCAUAUCACACAGCUAAAUUGAUGUGAUGCUAUUAAAACCCAGGUGUCCUUCCUGAUUCUGUUUGAGUGUGUUUGAAUUACUUAAUCUGGGUCUAGAUUCAAAUCCUGGUGCUAUUACAUGUGAAUCUCAGGAUUUUAGCAAGUUGUUAAACUCUCUACCUUGUCUGCAAUAUUUGUGAAAUGGGAAUAAUAAAAAUACCUGAGUGUUCCUGUGAGGAUUAAAUUAGGUGAUGCUAGUAAUUUUAAAAUAUAUCUUAUUAUUAUUAGUAAGUGAAAGGUAUCAUGAUUACCUUCUGCAGUGGUUCUAGAAACAGUGAGCCUGAUCUAAUUCUGUUAGCCAAUUCUGGUAGCUGCCUGUGUUUGUAAAUAAAGUCUUAUUAGAACACAGCUACAUUCAUUCAUUUAUGUAUCAUCUUUUGCUGCUUUCCUGUGACAAUGGUAGAGUAGCUGUAAUAGAGACAGUAUGGCCCACAAGGCACACAUAUUUACAGAGAGUUUGGCAACUUCUGGUUAGAUGAUCUGUGUAUUCUACUUGCACUCACUACUCCAAUGGCUGAAACCCAUAUGGAAAUCUCCAUGUCUAGCCUUGAUUUCUCUUUUGAUCUCCAGAGGUUGUAUCCAGCAGCCUACUGGCAUCUCUACUUGGAAGUCUCAUGGGCACCUUGAGUUCAGUUGGUCCCAAAGUAAACUUGUCUUCUUUCUGCUCAAACAUGCUGCUUGUGUUCCUUAGCACAGUGACUGGCACCAUGUAGAUCCCCAUGCCAGGAACCUGGGUGUCAUCCUACCUUAUGUCCUCUUCCUCACCUCCCAUGUCUCUUCGGUCUUAACCUUCUGUUGAUUUCAGCUUUUAAACAUCUCUUGGCACUAUGCCUGAGGUCUUGGCUGACACUGCCCUUAGCUAGACCCUGGUCAUCUUCUGCCUGAUCCAGUGCCAUCACUUUCUAGCUACAGGACCUCGACAGGGAGUCUGUUCAUAAAGGUCCAAGGAAGUGGGACACUGUGCCCUCCAAAAACUUAGGUUGGACUUGUCAUUGAGUUCUGUGUCCAUAAAAUAGGUCAUUUUCUGUUGUUUUGUGGUUCUUUAUUUUAAGGGUCUGUUGUUUGGUUGUAUUUAAAAAGAGAAUGGUAAUAAUAAUCCCAAAUACAUGUACUUUACUUUCAAAGCUUAUAAAACACUUUCAUACUUAUGAUAUUAUUUGAUUCUUGGACAGCUUGGGGAGAGAGCUAUUGCAAUUAUCUGUAUUUAUCCAUAUGAAAGGAUGUAUGCUUACCUAAGGUGACCUGCUUUGGAAGUAGAAAUCAGACCUAAGGCCCCUGACUCUGUGUUUUGUUUCUUCCUUUCUUUCCUUUUCUUCCCUUCCCUCCCUACCUCCUUUUUUUUCUCUCUCUCUCUUCCUCUCUCACUCUCUUAAGAUUCGUCUUCCCAAAGCAUCUGAGGUUUCAGCUUUCUUUUCCCUUGAACACUAGAAAUCCAUCAGGUAAUAUGUUAUAUGUCUUGCAUUCCCACCACGAAGAUCAGUAUUAAAAAAUGACAGCAACUUAUUAUUUAUGGCAAUAUCUAUUGUUACUAAGGGAGGCAGACCAAACAAUUCCCCAUUGUUACAGAUGCUACUCUGACUUGACAGCUGGGAAAGUCUGAUAGGCAGUUUAUUUACUUAGCCAUUUAACCAAAUAAAUGUUUUCAUUUUUCUUUCAUCUCCUCAAAAGCUAACAUUUCGUCCUCAAAAUUGCUCCAGCAACACAUCAGUGAAGUAUAAAUUACCUGCCAUUCCCAUACCAGUCAUUAUAAUAUUAUUUUGGUUCUUUUUUGCCCUUGUUGACCCAGUCUUUCAAAGACACGUGAUUCUCCCAGAUGGGAGGGUAGGGGGAAAAAAGUGAAGUAAUUGAAGAUACUUUCCUUUAUUGCUAAAACAGCACUGCUGUUUGAGAUUGGCCCUGAAGCUUCCACCUGUGGGGAUUGAGUCCGUCUGUUUCCUCUUACUAUGGUGUGAUAUGGCUUUAGCUUAUCAACAGAUGUCAUCCCUACUUACUCAGAACUGUGCAGGUAUUUCUAAUAAAAAACAGCUGGUGAUAAUGGUUGCAAGGGUGAUAAGAGAGACAGGACUCUUGCUUUCCAACCAUAUGAAAGCAGAGGGGAAAAAAUAAAGCCAUGGACAUAACUUUCCCUGCAUGGUCUCUCUUCUCCAAAUGUUUGGAAAGGCACUAAGAAAUUGCAGUCAGUAAAUUUUCAGUUGGGUGGAUGGGGGAAUGGGAUGGAGAUGGAAAGAUUAAAUGUGUCUUGUGCUGCUGUCGAUGGAGGGACCCAGAAUGGCUCUCCCAGACGUCCCCCAUGUGUGUCAUAGUGGCUAUGUCUGCAAAGCUGGCAUCUGCCCCUUGGCACUUGAAUCUUGAUAACUGUGAAGUGGCCAGGCUAAGCUUUCAAAGGGAGAAAAUUACUUCACCGAAGAUUACAGUCCAGCCCUCCUCUGGAGCUGGGAGGUACUUAUUUUGACUUGCAUGUGAUUCUAAGACAGCCCAUUUUUUGGCAGUGAGCUGUGUGAGGCCCAAACCAGGGCCAUUCUGAUUAUGGGGUGGGGCAAGCCAGAGAGCUAAGCAGCAGGCUUUUUUCUUUUUUUCCCUUCCAAAGCUGUUGUGACACAUAUUGAAAAUUAAUUAUCUGAAGACAAAGUACAAAGCAAAACCUCCCAACCAAUGGUCUUAUACAUGAAAGCUAAAUGUAUAAAAUCCAAGAGAGUGGGGAGCGUGCAUUAAUUGGAUAUAUGUGAUGAUGAUAAUGAUGAUGAUAAUGAUGAUGGUGAUGGUGAUGAUGAGGGUAGCUAGCAUCUAUUAGGUGCUUUCUAUGUGCUAUACACAGUGCUAAGAGCUUCACAUAUAUCACUUUAUUUAGUUCACAUAAUAACCCUAUGAGGUGGACACUAUUUUUAUCCUUAUUUUUCAAAUGAAGAAAAUAAGAUAGAGAAUAAUUAUAAAAUCACAGCAGUGUCACAUAGCCAGGAAGUGGUGGAGCCAGAUGCUGAACUCAAACAAUGUUGUUCCAGAACCUAGAUAUUUUUUUUAAGCUGAAUUUUAAGCUGAUUACUCAGUGUCUGUCUCUGCGCUAGAUACUCAACAUAAACUAUCUCAGUUACCAUUAUGGAGAAUAUAAGCCCCUUC